rnacentral:piRNA from 1 species
UAUCUGGAGACCUGGGAUUAAUGGAAAGG